GCUCCCAUGGCGUAGUGGUCACUGCGCUCGCCUUGCACGCGGGAGACCCGGGUUCGUCCCGGCGGGGUCA
rnacentral:tRNA from 1 species